rnacentral:rRNA from 1 species
UACGGAGGGGGCUAGCGUUGUUCGGAAUUACUGGGCGUAAAGCGCACGUAGGCGGCUUUGUAAGUUAGAGGUGAAAGCCCAGAGCUCAACUCUGGAACUGCCUUUAAGACUGCAUCGCUAGAAUCCGGGAGAGGUGAGUGGAAUUCCGAGUGUAGAGGUGAAAUUCGUAGAUAUUCGGAAGAACACCAGUGGCGAAGGCGGCUCACUGGACCGGUAUUGACGCUGAGGUGCGAAAGCGUGGGGAGCAAACAGG